rnacentral:tRNA from 6 species
AGGCGCGUAGCUCAGGGGUAGAGCACUACCUUGACAUGGUAGGGGUCGGCGGUUCGAUCCCGCCCGCGCCUA